rnacentral:rRNA from 1 species
UAGGGAAUCUUCCACAAUGGACGAAAGUCUGAUGGAGCAACGCCGCGUGAGUGAAGAAGGGUUUCGGCUCGUAAAACUCUGUUGUUAAAGAAGAACAUAUCUGAGAGUAACUGUUCAGGUAUUGACGGUAUUUAACCAGAAAGCCACGGCUAACUACUUGCUAG